rnacentral:rRNA from 1 species
CCUACGGAAGGCAGCAGUGGGGAAUAUUGGGCAAUGGGCGCAAGCCUGACCCAGCAACGCCGCGUGAAGGAAGAAGGCUUUCGGGUUGUACACUUCUUUUCUGAGGGACGAAGCAAGUGACGGUACCUCAGGAAUAAGCCACGGCUAACUACGUGCCAGCAGCCGCGGUAAUACGUAGGUGGCAAGCGUUAUCCGGAUGUAUGGGGUGUAAAGGGCGUGUAGGCGAGAAAGCAAGUCAGAUGUGAAAGCUCAGGGCUCAACCCUGAUCCUGCAUUUGAAACUGUUUUUCUUGAGUGCUGGAGAGGCAAUCGGAAUUCCGGGUGUAGCGGUGAAAUGCGUAGAUAUACGGAGGAACACCAGUGGCGAAGGCGGAUUGCUGGACAGUAACUGACGCUGAGGCGCGAAAGCGUGGGGAGCAAACAGGAUUAGAUACCCCUGUAGUC